UACAUUUGCAGCGAAUUUGGUUUCCCGCCACUGGCGGGAUGAAAAGGGAAGCCGGUGCAAGUCCGGCGCUAUCCCCGUAGCUGUAACGUCCAUAGAAAUGUUUUGUUAGUGCACCACUCCGGCGCUUUUGUUGGGGGAAGGUAAACAAAACGGACGAAGCCAGAAGACCUGCCGGUUCAGUUAAAACAAU
rnacentral:ncRNA from 2 species